CUCCCUCUCUACUGCUGUCGUGCAACCUGUCUUCUGCUACUUAGGAGUUCUCUUCUUACACCUGCCUUUAAAUAAAACCCUGACCUGACCGUGAAGGAAAACCUGUCUCCCCAUCUGUGGCUGGUAUGACAAGUUUUUUGGAGCUGAGAAGCAUGAGGUCGGGCCUCGGGUUGCUGAAUAAUGGACCCCUUCGGUGACCCUCUGCGAGGCCUCUGGUGAGGAUUUUCAUGGGGUCCUUAAUCCACCUCCUGCUGAGACAGCCACACCCCCAACAAGGAUGCCUGUGCUGCAGUCGGUUAUACAGCCUGCCCGCCACCCCCAGAAACCACCCCCCCCCACCAGCCGCUGCAACUUUGUUGAAUGAUGGACCUACAGGGGGACUGUGGCUCCACGCAGAAGUCUGGGAAGGCAGCAGCCUGGACCCACUUGAAGGGGCAAGAGGGCCUAUGUGGCAGCGUGAGAGGGUCAGAGGGAUGGAAGGCUGAAACAGCCUUUUGGAUUCGACUCUUCUCCAGGGACAAACAGAAGGGAUGGCAGUGAGAAUAACCAUAUUCACCAACAAUUGGGAAUACUUAUUCCCCGACAACUUCCUAUGUGUUUUACUGAAUCGUCUCCUUCAGUCCCCACGGCAAAUCCAUCCAGCACUAGCACAGGGCCUAGGACGGAGACGGUGCCCAGGAGAUGUAUGAAAAGACAUGACAGCUGAGGAAACUGGACACGGGGAGGUGAAGUGACUUGCCUAAGGUCACACACUUGACAGGCAGUGGAGAGGAGAUUCAGGUCCGUCUGGCGUUCCUACUUUAUACUGUGCCUCAAAGAAAAGAUGCCAGGCUGUGGGCACUGUGAGGGCAAAGCAGGCGUGCUGAGGGAAGGUGCUCUGCUCUGCAUUGGCAGGAGGGGGGGUGCAGCCCGAGAAUCCAGGAGAGCGCCACCCCCGGCAUCGGUCCUGCCUGGCCAGCCUUCCCCAGCCUGAAAGGAGUCAAGUACACGAGUCAUGGGUCCCCCCAGAGGAGGGGGGAUGGUUUCAGACUCCAAGACCAGCAGAGUCCUACACACAAGGAGUAAUGGAGCUUUACUUGCUGUUCCAGACAUUUCCUCAUCAGCCUUUCUUCUGGAAGGAUCUGGGCACUCAGCUAUGUUUACACGUGCCCAGCCUGACAGAAGCCCUGUUUAUUAAAAAGGAUGGAGUGGACUUGGGUGUUCUGGGGUCUGUCCUCGUCUCCCUUGGCUCGGCCGGUUGAGAGAAGAUGGGACACGAGACAGAGAGGCCAGGAAUGUGCAGCAGAAAACCCACAGCCUUUGCCUGGGAGAGCAGGAGCGAAGCGGAUCCUGUCUGACGGAUCCCAGACCCCUCCACUGCCCCUGCUGACAUUUGAUAAAUGCUUCCUGUGAAAAUGUUUACCCAGGAGGAAAUGGAUCAUGCUUCCCCUUCCUACCACGAGGGUGGGAAGAGGGGCCACACAGGUCCCAUAAAUUCCACCAGCU
rnacentral:lncRNA from 1 species